rnacentral:lncRNA from 1 species
GCCUUGCGGGAUUUCGAUCGGCAUUCGGAGUAAUGAGUGCUUAUCGGGACGUCGCGACGGUUGUCACUGGCUCGAUGGGAGUUUCGGGUCGUGACAGAUUAUGUAAUCUCACCCCUCUUCCUAUCCAUUUUUCAAGCUCAGGACAGUUUGUUGAUAGUUGAUUAAGAUGAGAAUUAAUCUCAGAGUUGCAUUCUAGAAAGUAAGGGUUCGUAGCCCUACACCUUCUUGGUCAGUUGGGGGCAUACAUGUCACUGUAAAAGUAAUUUUAUACUUCAGUUAUCUGAUUUAAAGUAUGUAUGAACAUAUUUAGCUUUUACACCAUGUUUUUGACGAGUUUCGGUAUUUUUGAAAAAAAUGACUAAAAUACCCUUGUGAGAUAAAAAUAAAUUUUCAUUAUUUUUGGAUGGGAA